GACGAACGCUGGCGGCGUGCUUAACACAUGCAAGUCGAACGGAAAGGCCCUGCUUUUGUGGGGUGCUCGAGUGGCGAACGGGUGAGUAACACGUGAGUAACCUGCCCUUGACUUUGGGAUAACUUCAGGAAACUGGGGCUAAUACCGGAUAGGAGCUCCUGCUGCAUGGUGGGGGUUGGAAAGUUUCGGCGGUUGGGGAUGGACUCGCGGCUUAUCAGCUUGUUGGUGGGGUAGUGGCUUACCGAGGCUUUGACGGGUAGCCGGCCUGAGAGGGUGACCGGCCACAUUGGGACUGAGAUACGGCCCAGACUCCUACGGGAGGCAGCAGUGGGGAAUAUUGCACAAUGGGCGGAAGCCUUAUGCAGCAACGCCGCGUGCGGGAUGACGGCCUUUGGGUUGUAAACCGCUUUCGCCUGUGACGAAGCGUGAGUGACGGUAAUGGGUAAAGAAGCACCGGCUAACUACGUG
rnacentral:rRNA from 1 species